rnacentral:rRNA from 1 species
UUAAGUCCUCUGAUGUCCUUCGGGACUAGGGGUGAGGCUGAACGCUCGAUCCGAUCGGGUAGUAGGUAAGCGAUGGGGUGACGCAGGAAGGUAGUCCAGCCCAGGCGAUGGUUGUCCUGGGGUAAGCAUGUAGGGCGGAACGUAGGUAAAUCCGCGUUCUAUUCAGCCUGAGAUGUGAUGCCGAGCCGAUUGUGGUGAAGUGGAUGAUCCUAUGCUGCCGAGAAAAGCCUCUAGUGAGUGUUGUGGCGGCCCGUACCCUAAACCGACUCAGGUGGUCAGGUAGAGAAUACCAAGGCGAUCGGGUGAACUGUGGUUAAGGAACUCGGCAAAUUGCCCCCGUAACUUCGGGAGAAGGGGGACCUCUGCUGGUGAUGGGCUUUACGUUCUGAGCUGGUGGGGGUCGCAGUGGCCAGGGGGAAGCGACUGUUUACUAAAAACACAGGUCCGUGCGAAGUCGUAAGACGAUGUAUACGGACUGACGCCUGCCCGGUGCCGGAACGUUAAGGGGACCGCUUAGCCAACGCGAGUUGGCGAAGGUGAGAACUUAAGCGCCGGUAAACGGCGGUGGUAACUAUAACCAUCCUAAGGUAGCGAAAUUCCUUGUCGGGUAAGUUCCGACCUGCACGAAUGGCGUAACGACUUCCCCGCUGUCUCAACCACAGACCCGGCGAAAUUGCACUACGAGUAAAGAUGCUCGUUUCGCGCAGCAGGACGGAAAGACCCCGGGACCUUCACUACAGCUUGACAUUGGCGUUUGGAACGUCUUGUGUAGGAUAGGUGGGAGACUGGGAAGCUGUCACGCUAGUGAUGGUGGAGUCAUUGUUGAAAUACCACUCUGGUCGUUUUGAACGUCUAACUCUGGUCCGUGAUCCGGAUCGGGGACAGUGUCUGGUGGGUAGUUUAACUGGGGCGGUUGCCUCCUAAAGAGUAACGGAGGCGCCCAAAGGUUCCCUCAGCCUGGUUGGCAAUCAGGUGUUGAGUGUAAGUGCACAAGGGAGCUUGACUGUGAGACUGACAGGUCGAGCAGGAGCGAAAGCUGGGACUAGUGAUCCGGCAUCGGCGUGUGGAAGCGGUGUCGCUCAACGGCUAAAAGGUACCCCGGGGAUAACAGGCUGAUCUUCCCCAAGAGUCCAUAUCGACGGGAUGGUUUGGCACCUCGAUGUCGGCUCGUCGCAUCCUGGGGCUGGAGUAGUCCCAAGGGUUGGGCUGUUCGCCCAUUAAAGCGGUACGCGAGCUGGGUUUAGAACGUCGCGAGACAGUUCGGUCCCUAUCCGCUGCGCGCGCAGGAGACUUGAAGGGGGCUGUCCCUAGUACGAGAGGACCGGGACGGAUGAACCUCUGGUGUGCCAGUUGUACCGCCAGGUGCACGGCUGGUUGGCUACGUUCGGAAGGGAUAACCGCUGAAAGCAUCUAAGCGGGAAGCUCGCCUUGAGAUGAGGUCUCCCACCCCGUGAGGGGGUAAGGCUCCCGGUAGAUCACCGGGUUGAUAGGCCGGAGGUGGAAGCACGGUAACGUGUGGAGCUGACCGGUACUAAUAGGCCGAGGACUUGACC